rnacentral:rRNA from 1 species
UUGGAGGGCAAGUCUGGUGCCAGCAGCCGCGGUAAUUCCAGCUCCAAUAGCGUAUAUUAAAGUUGUUGCAGUUAAAAAGCUCGUAGUUGAAUUUCGGGGUUAGUAGGUUGGUCAUGCCACUGGUAUGUACUGGUCUCACUGAUUCCUCCUUCCUGAUGAGCCGUAAUGCCAUUAAUUUGGUGUUGCGAGGAAUCUGGACUGUUACUUUGAAAAAAUUAGAGUGUUUAAAGCAAGCUAACGCUUGAAUGCAUUAGCAUGGAAUAAUGAAAUAGGACGUUCGAUCCUAUUUUGUUGGUUUCUAGGAUUGACGUAAUGAUUAAUAGGGAUAGUUGGGGGCAUUAGUAUUCAAUUGUCAGAGGUGAAAUUCUUGGAUUUAUUGAAGACUAACUACUGCGAAAGCAUUUGCCAAGGAUGUUUUCAUUAAUCAAGAACGAAAGUUAGGGGAUCGAAGACGAUCAGAUACCGUCGUAGUCUUAACCAUAAACCAUGCCGACUAGGGAUCGGAUGAUGUUAUUUUUAAUGACUCAUUCGGCGCCUUACGGGAAACCAAAGUGUUUGGGUUC